rnacentral:rRNA from 1 species
UACGUAGGGGGCAAGCGUUGUCCGGAAUUAUUGGGCGUAAAGAGCGUGUAGGCGGUCCGGUAAGUCAGCUGUGAAAGUCAAGGGCUCAACCCUUGAAUGCCGGUUGAUACUGUCGGGCUAGAGUCCGGAAGAGGCGAGUGGAAUUCCCGGUGUAGCGGUGAAAUGCGCAGAUAUCGGGAGGAACACCAAUGGCGAAGGCAACUCGCUGGGACGGUACUGACGCUGAGACGCGAAAGCGUGGGGAGCAAACAGG